AGCGAACGCUGGCGGCAGGCCUAACACAUGCAAUUCGAACGGACCCUUCGGGGUUAGUGGCGGACGGGUGAGUAACACGUGGGAACGUGCCUUUAGGUUCGGAAUAGCUCCUGGAAACGUGUGGUAAUGCCGAAUGUGCCCUUCGGGGGAAAGAGUUAUCGCCUUUAGAGCGGCCCGCGUCUGAUUAGCUAGUUGGUGAGGUAAAGGCUCACCAAGGUGACGAUCAGUAGCUGGUCUGAGAGGAUGACCAGCCACAUUGGGACUGAGACACGGCCCAAACGCCUACGGGAGGCAGCAGUGGGGAAUCUUGCGCAAUGGGCGAAAGCCUGACGCAGCCAUGCCGCGUGAAUGAUGAAGGUCUUAGGAUUGUAAAAUUCUUUCACAGGGGACGAUAAUGACGGUACCCGGAGAAGAAGCCCCGGCUAACUUCGUGCCAGCAGCCGCGGUAAUAC
rnacentral:rRNA from 1 species